UACGUAGGGUGCAAGCGUUGUCCGGAAUUAUUGGGCGUAAAGAGCUCGUAGGCGGCUUGUCACGUCGGAUGUGAAAAUCCAGGGCUCAACCCUGGACCUGCAUUCGAUACGGGCAGGCUAGAAUUCGGUAGGGGAGACUGGAAUUCCUGGUGUAGCGGUGAAAUGCGCAGAUAUCAGGAGGAACACCGGUGGCGAAGGCGGUUCUCUGGGCAUGUCCUGACGCUGAGGAGCGAAAGUGUGGGGAGCGAACAGG
rnacentral:rRNA from 1 species